UACCAGCACCCCGAGUGGUCGGGACGAUUAUUGGGCCUAAAGCAUCCGUAGCCGGUUCUACAAGUCUUCCGUUAAAUCCACCUGCUUAACAGAUGGGCUGCGGAGGAUACUAUAGAGCUAGGAGGCGGGAGAGGCAAGCGGUACUUAGUGGGUAGGGGUAAAAUCCGUUGAUCCAUUGAAGACCACCAGUGGCGAAGGCGGCUUGCCAGAACGCACUCGACGGUGAGGGAUGGAAAGCUGGGGGAAGCAAACCGGGAUUAGAAAACCCC
rnacentral:rRNA from 1 species